rnacentral:rRNA from 1 species
AGCGAACGCUGGCGGCAGGCCUAACACAUGCAAGUCGAACGGAUCCUUCGGGACUAGUGGCGGACGGGUGAGUAACACGUGGGAACGUGCCCUUUGGUUCGGAACAACUCAGGGAAACUUGAGCUAAUACCGGAUGUGCCCUUCGGGGAAAGAUUUAUCGCCAUUGGAGCGGCCCGCGUCUGAUUAGCUAGUUGGUGAGGUAAAGGCUCACCAAGGCGACGAUCAGUAGCUGGUCUGAGAGGAUGAUCAGCCACAUUGGGACUGAGACACGGCCCAAACUCCUACGGGAGGCAGCAGUGGGGAAUCUUGCGCAAUGGGCGAAAGCCUGACGCAGCCAUGCCGCGUGAAUGAUGAAGGUCUUAGGAUUGUAAAAUUCUUUCACCGGGGGACGAUAAUGACGGUACCCGGAGAAGAAGCCCCGGCUAACUUCGUGCCAGCAGCCGCGGUAAU